rnacentral:rRNA from 1 species
UUCAACAACGGAUCUCUUGGUUCUGGCAUCGAUGAAGAACGCAGCGAAAUGCGAUAAGUAAUGUGAAUUGCAGAAUUCAGUGAAUCAUCGAAUCUUUGAACGCACAUUGCGCCCUCUGGUAUUCCGGAGGGCAUGCCUGUUCGAGCGUCAUUU